GAUGAAGAACGUAGCAAAAUGCGAUAAGUAAUGUGAAUUGCAGAAUUCAGUGAAUCAUCGAAUCUUUGAACGCACAUUGCGCCCGCUGGUAUUCUGGCGGGCAUGCCUGUUCGAGCGUCAUUUCAACCCUCAAGCCCCCGGGUUUGGUGUUGGGGAUCGGCUCUGCCCUUCUGGGCGGUGCCGCCCCCGAAAUACAUUGGCGGUCUCGCUGCAGCCUCCAUUGCGUAGUAGCUAACACCUCGCAACUGGAACGCGGCGCGGCCAUGCCGUAAAACCCCAACUUCUGAAUGUUGACCUCGGAUCAGGUAGGAAUACCCGCUGAACUUAAGCAUAUCAAUAAGCGGAGGA
rnacentral:misc_RNA from 1 species